CGCUUCAUCUGAGAGCUGGCAGCCCCACAGGCAGCGUCUCUUCCCAGUGACCCCCCCCCCUCCUAUGGGUUGUUGGGGGGCUCUGGUUCUUGGAAAGAGGUCCUACAGGAGCUGAUGAGAACUUCAGAAAUGAAGUGGGAGCUCCAUACUCCGUGGCACCCUCCUUCUUCAGGGAAAGUAGAAUGAAUCAAUCAGAUGCUGAAGAAGCACUUGUCAAAAUUGGUUUCAGUGACCAAAUUACCAUGGACAAAGUGUUUGCCUGUAGCCCUUGUCAGAAUACGAACCACUCACAGAAAAGGCUUAGGAGUAUCGCCAUACGAAGUGCUGUUUGGGUGGCCGUACUUGGGAAUGGUGAGAUGCCCGCUCUUGAAACCAAGGAUAAGUUUCUCCAGAACUGUGUACUCAGGUUGUCUGCUGCUCUGUUAUUCCUUAAGGAAUGUGGACUGUUGGCUCAAACUCCACCUCUGGAAUUUCCAGUGCACUCAUCCCGUGUUGGAGGCUGGUCCUAAUAUGCACCUGGAAGGAAUAAAGGCUUCAGCCUGAGUGGGAUGGAAUGGACUAUUUCAGGCAAGCUGAAGUCUUCCUUAAAAGAGGACCGCAAAGGAUAGGAAGCAUUUAUAAGGAGGCUGUCUACACUCCGUACACUGAUGUUAUAUGAUGUGAUAGUUGAGAAACCUUCCUGGCUGGGUUUUUUAGGCCCUAUCAUUAAAGGAGAAGUUGGUGAUUCCAUUGUUGUUCACUUGAAAAACUUUGCUUCCAGAAACUACACACUGCAUCCACAUGGUGUAAAAUAUACAAAGGAAAACGAAGGUAAGCUUGAGUCCAUUUUGUGUCAGAAUUGAACAAAAGCUUUGUCAUCAAAGAUACAACUGCCUAAGCGAAUUAUCUUCUGAAACAAGACACACUCAGUUUAAAAUAGGAGCUGAUUAAGAACUUCUGGUAUUUGUUCAAGAGUGAAAUACUGAGCCAAAAGUGGGGUUCGUGUAGAAGGCAAUUUUAGAUCAACGUUCCAUCUGAAAUAAGGGUAAUGUAGGGAUGUCUGAAGGAAAAAAAAACGAUGCUGUUGUAAAGAAAAUACUGUUUGUAUAAGUUAUAACUCUUAAUGGUAUUAAGAAUUCUGAAUUAUACACAAGAUAUAAGAUACACAAGUUCCUUAAAACAGGCAAAUGCCUUCAGCUUAGAUAAAUUAGCCAUCACUCUUUCAGAUGUACUGUAACCAUGCUACUGGUAUUAGUGAAGACAAUAGUUGUUGGCAAUAGGGGAGACUUUCAAGCUGUGAAACACUGCUGCAGUUUCACUGAAAUUAGUGGAGUCCUUGCAUAUUGACAGGUAGAAGAGUCGCGUUCUCUUCUGGACAAUCUAUGGAGUGUUUUUGUAGCAUCUUUUAUGCAUACAGCAACCCAUGAAUGUGCCAUCUGUCAGAAAGAGCAGCGUGUCCCUCCUGAGGAAAUACUGUGAUUCCAGUUUCCUCCUUGAAAACUACUGAAUGUAGUAUGAUGACAUCUAAACCUGAGGCUGUAGCCUGACAAUUCACUCUGCCAGAUGCACCUCACUGGGUAGUUUUCCAUACUAUUAUCUGCAAGAAAGACUGCACUGGAAUAUAGCCACUGAAAGUUUUAUUAAGAUGCCUUAAAGACUGUGUGAAUUAUUGAGUAGAUACUGUCAAAAGUAGUCUUUGAAAAUUUUUCAGUGGGGAAAAAAAUUGUGAAAUAUUAGUUUAACAUCUAAUAUUUUUAAAGGGUUUUCAUUACAUCAAAUAUGUGACUUGGCAUUGACGCACUAUGGGAGCAGAACAGCAUGUUGUAUGGUAAUAUAUAGAACAAUAUUUGCAAUUUUACCACUGUUGCUCUUAUUUGAGGCACACCUGUGUUCCUUGGAGAGGAAUGCAAUGUUUUAGAAUAGAUUCCAAGAUCAAUAUUUAGCAAAUGUUUUACAAAUAUUUUAGCUGUUGUCUCUUUAGCAGAAGUACACUGUGCCCUCUUAAUAAAGAACUCAAUUUAAAGUUAUUUGUCAAAGCGCACCUGCAGAACUCAAAGUCAAGUAAAGGAAUUCUAGCAGAAGGGAGAGCUCUAUCCAUCUGAGUUAAAAUUUGUUUUACCUCUAUUUGAGUAUUCAAUCCCUGUUAUUGCAGCAUGUAGUCAACUUGAAAGCACUGUUCUGACACCGUAUUGUGAAAUGCGUUAUGUUAAUGUUGGCCGUGUGCCAU